ensembl:snoRNA SNORD24 Small nucleolar RNA SNORD24
UGCAGAUGAUGUAAAAGAAUAUUUGCUAUCUGAGAGAUAGUGAUGACGCUUGAAACCACCAAGAUCGCUGAUGCA